rnacentral:rRNA from 1 species
UUCCAGACUCCUACGGGAGGCAGCAGUGGGGAAUAUUGCACAAUGGGGGAAGCCCUGAUGCAGCGACGCCGCGUGAGUGAGGAAGUAUUUCGGUAUGUAAAGCUCUAUCAGCAGGGAAGAAAAUGACGGUACCUGAAGAAGAAGCCCCGGCUAACUACGUGCCAGCAGCCGCGGUAAUACGUAGGGGGCAAGCGUUAUCCGGAUUUACUGGGUGUAAAGGGGGCGCAGACGGCGAUGCAAGCCAGGAGUGAAAGCCCGGGGCCCAACCCCGGGACUGCUCUUGGAACUGCGUGGCUGGAGUGCAGGAGGGGCAGGCGGAAUUCCUGGUGUAGCGGUGAAAUGCGUAGAUAUCAGGAGGAACACCGGUGGCGAAGGCGGCCUGCUGGACUGCGACUGACGUUGAGGCCCGAAAGCGUGGGGAGCAAACAGGAUUAGAUACCCUGGUA